rnacentral:rRNA from 1 species
GACGAACGCUGGCGGCGUGCUUAACACAUGCAAGUCGAACGGAAAGGCCCUGCUUUUGUGGGGUGCUCGAGUGGCGAACGGGUGAGUAACACGUGAGUAACCUGCCCUUGACUUUGGGAUAACUUCAGGAAACUGGGGCUAAUACCGGAUAGGAGCUCCUGCUGCAUGGUGGGGGUUGGAAAGUUUCGGCGGUUGGGGAUGGACUCGCGGCUUAUCAGCUUGUUGGUGGGGUAGGGGCUUACCAAGGCUUUGACGGGUAGCCGGCCUGAGAGGGUGACCGGCCACAUUGGGACUGAGAUACGGCCCAGACUCCUACGGGAGGCAGCAGUGGGGAAUAUUGCACAAUGGGCGGAAGCCUGAUGCAGCAACGCCGCGUGCGGGAUGACGGCCUUCGGGUUGUAAACCGCUUUCGCCUGUGACGAAGAGUGAGUGACGGUAAUGGGUAAAGAAGCACCGGCUAACUACGUG